GACCAGCUGCUCUUCUGUGAUGACUGUGACCGUGGCUAUCACAUGUAUUGCUUGAAUCCACCAGUCUUUGAGCCCCCAGAAGGGAGCUGGAGUUGUCAUUUGUGCCGGGAGCUGCUCAGAGAGAGAGCAUCAGCUUUUGGCUUCCAGGCCUGAGGAGCUCCAGCAGUCAAGAAACACUUUGCUCCUGGUGUUGCCAUACCAGCACACAAUUCCCAUCCAGAACACAAAGACACAACCCACAUCAAAAUGAACAGACACUCAAAUGCAGGAAGAGGUAUCUGUGGUAUUCACUGUCACUAAUGCCAUACCUCCUGGGCUCUCCUAGAAGGAUUGUGUACUUUCCCGAUGCUCCAGAUGAAAUCUCUUCACUGCUGUGCAUGGUUGCUGCUUGCUGUUAUGGGCUCACAUGCGUUAUAGAAGGGGGAGGGUUGUUAUAUCGACAUGGAGAAAUCGAUUUUGUGUAGCCUUGUGCUUUCUGUUUAUUCUUCUUUUUUAAAGAAGAAGUAGUAAGAUAUCUCCCAAGGAAUUAUCGGUGAGUACUUUGGCUGGGAGCAGCACCAGUUGUUUCUCUUCACAGGCUUGACUGGAAAUCUCUUUACUGCGACCACUCUGUAUUCGUAGCGGGGCUUUGAGGGUUGCAUUAGUUCAAUACUUCCCAGGUCAUGAACAAGGUGUUGUCACUGAGAGAAGCACUGAUGAAGAAUUUUUGGGGUGACACUUUUUCCCUUGGAUCAAAUGCUUUGAUUUGGCAGAUCUUUAGAAAUCUGGUUUUAGUAUCUCUAGAGGAAGAACAGUACCAGCACAUUCAUACACAUAUGCUUAGAAAAGCCUACCGUCUUUGGUAUUUCAGGAUAUUCAGGCACACUGUCCCACUGCCGUGCCAGCAUACAGUCCAGACUCAUUUUAUUUU